AAGAUGGCAUCCAGACACACAUACCUUUCACCUUCCGGUUGGUGAAUGUGUUGUCACAUUGGAAGAUGUGGCUAUAAUUCUUGGUCUUCCAACGGAGGGUCUUCUAGUCACAGGGAUGACUAUGAGUAGUUUUGAAGCCUUAGAGGCAGAGUGUUUGCACUAAUUUGGAGUUGCACCGAGAAAGUCAGACUGUAGAGGAAGCGGCAUAAAACUAACAUGGCUUCGGAAUCUAAAAGAACGGUUACAGUUGACUGAUGAAAAUAGUAUGCAGAGGUACGUGAAGUGCCACAUUAUGUUGUUGAUCGGUACGAUCUUGUUUGGAGACAAGUCUAGGGCAUCUGUGCACUAGAAGUUUCUUCCUUUACUUUGUGAUUUUGGCAGUAUUGGACAGUACAGUUGGGGAUCGGCAUGCCUAGCACACCUGUACAGGGCGUUAUGUAGGGCAUCUCGUUUUGACUGUAAGGAGAUCGAUGGUCCAUUAACAUUUCUGCUCGUUUGGGCUUGGAUUCGCCUGCCAUAUCUAGCGCCAGUUCCUAGGGAACCCUAUAGUUUUUCGCUUGCAAACAGGUAACAUUAUCUUACAUUUACUCUGUAUCUUCAUAUUUAGAAUCCAGUUGUGUUAAUGAAAUAAGUCAUAUUAGGUGGCGUAACUGGGAGCGUGGAGACCGACGCUUUAGUUUGUGUGGGUUGCUUAUGCUGUGGAUCGCGUGGAUCCGGACAUAAUUCCUGCAGACAUCUACAUGCACUUGGUUGUGUAGAGUGCUACGGUGUCGUUGGUGUCUUUUGAAUGCAUUGAGUGACAUGCAACCGAUCGGUAUAGGCGACAGUUCGGUUUUGUUCAGGGAGUUCCUCAUCAGGAACGGAAUCUAGACAAGGCACACGGAGAAGUCCUGACUGGUCCUAAGAAUCUUAACUGGGCCACGGCCACGAGUCAUGCAUUUUGGGUGAUGCAGUGGAUAAACAGGUAUAAUUACGUUCUUACUGAGCUCGAUGGUUCUCAUCAUCCCUUAGAUAUUUACAUGUACUGGUGCCGUACAAAAUAUGGCAACCACUUGAACUUGUCGGAUCUUGUGGUUCAAGAGAAUGAUUAGGGUGAUCAGGUUAUGGAUGAUGUGGUUCAAGAGAAUGAGGAGAAUGAAGAGCAUGAGCCACAAUCACCUCCACCUCCACCUCCACAAGAACAACCUCAGUCCUCAAGCCAAUAUCUACCUCAAACACAAUUUACCUCAUCAUACCCAAUACAUCAGCAGUAUUAGAGUGUGCCACAGUUUGACUCAGCAGAUGGAGGUUCUUUGAGCCAGUUGCUUGGGUUCAUGGCUACAGAUGCAGGCCAAUCACAAUAUGGCCAUCAGCCUGACAUCAUGGCAGGUACGUAUUCCUUGGACGCGAGGCAUCCAUGCCGCACUUCCUUGAGUGCUUUUGGAGGGUUGGUAUCUGGUGACUCUAGUAGGAGUGACGGUGGUCGAGAAGUUCUUAAUAGUCAAAACCCUAACCGUGUUUCAAUGAGUCUAAUUGAAGAAAAUGCCAAGACACUUGAGCAA